rnacentral:rRNA from 1 species
GUCUAUGGCCAUACCACCCUGAAUGUGCCGAUCUUGUCUGAUCUCGUAAGCUAAGCAGGUUGGGCCUGGUUAGUACUUGGAUGGGAGAUCACUGUCCCUGUGCUUUCUACUGCCUCAAGUGACAUAGCUGUUGACU